rnacentral:rRNA from 1 species
AUGGACGCGAUGGAGUCCUCGUCGCCCUACUCGCUGCGCCAAAAGCUGCGGACCACCGUCUGCGGCUGCUUCGGAUCACCGUCGUCGCCGGUCAGCAGCGCGGGGAGGCCGCACACCGGCGGCGGCAGGGCCAGGUGGAGGCGGCGCAUGGCGGCCACGGGGGUGUUCCGGUACGACCCGCUGAGCUACGCGCUCAACUUCGACAACAGCGGUAGUGACGGCGGCGAGCGAGACACUAAGGACACCGCCUUCCACUUCCAGUACAGGAACUUCAGCUCGCGCCUGCCGCCCUUGCCGACACCGACUGCCGGGCGUGCCACCACGGUCGCCAUCGCCUGA